rnacentral:misc_RNA from 1 species
UGAUUUGAGAUCGAACGUUCAAAAGUUGUCCUCGCUGGGGAGAGACGUUUAUGAGCCCCAAUGAACCUUCAUCGCUGAGGGUUACCUGACGGACAACCGCGAGCGUAGAUAGUUAUCACACCCGUGACGCCGCCAAACACUGGCAAGCUGAUUCAUUUGAGAGGAGCUGGCCACAAGGCCAGCAAACCCCCAAAGUCCAAGCUCAUCAUGGAAGACCAUGAGAGUUGAGGUGUUCAUGAUACUCAAACAGGCAUGCUCCGAGGAAUAACCAAGGGGCGCAAGGUGCGUUCAAAGAUUCGAUGAUUCACUGAAUUCUGCAAUUCACAUUACUUAUCGCAUUUCGCUGCGUUCUUCAUCGAUGCGAGAGCCAAGAGAUCCGUUGCUGAAAGUUGUAUUGUAUUGCGUUAAACGCGAAAAAACAUUCCAUGAGACAUCGCUACGGUGUGUGUGUAAAGACGUAGAGCUACGGAAGGAAGACAACGUCUCCCGGUCCACAGAACUACAGAGGGUGCACAGGUGUGAGUGGAUGUGUAAACAGAGCGUGCACAUGCCCCGUUCGGGGGCCAGCAACAACCCGUGUUUGACAAUUCGGUAAUGAUCCUUCC